rnacentral:misc_RNA from 1 species
GAAAUGCGAUACGUAGUGUGAAUCGCAGGGAUCAGUGAAUCAUCGAAUCUUUGAACGCAUGUUGCGCUCUCGUGGAUUACCCCCCGGGAGCACGUUUGCUUGAGUGCCGCUUCUUUUUCUCUCUUUACACAUCACGUCACAUCACACACACACACACCCACCCACCAUCUUAUGAUGAUGAUUGGGUAUGUGUUGUAUGAUGAUGAUGAUGAUGAUGAUGUGCAAGAUACGGAUUUUGCUGUAGAAAUCAUCAGCAUGAUCUUAGAAAGAGAAAACAACAACAACAACACUUUCAACUAUAAUACAAUACACAUACUAUAAGGAUAUGUAGUGAGUGAGAUAUAUAUAUAUAUAUCACACACACAACAUAUUCAAUAAUAUGUCAAUUUUGUAUGGGGUUGGUUGGGUUGUGGUUGGGUUGGGUUAUUCAUACACAACACAACACACACACAUACACACGGCCUCAAGUCAAGCGACAGUACCCGCUGAAUUUAAGC